CCUACGGGGUGCAGCAGUAGGGAAUUUUCGUCAAUGGGCGCAAGCCUGAACGAGCAAUGCCGCGUGAACGAGGAAGGUCUUCGGAUCGUAAAGUUCUGUUGAAGGGGAAAAAGAGCGGAGAGAGGAAAUGAUCUCUGAUUGAUAUUACCCUUCGAGGAAGUCACGGCUAACUACGUGCCAGCAGCCGCGGUAAUACGUAGGUGGCGAGCGUUAUCCGGAAUGAUUGGGCGUAAGGGGUGCGUAGGCGGCUUGCUAAGUCUGGAGUGAAAGGUACCGGCUCAACCGGUACAGGCUCUGGAAACUGGCGGGCUAGAGGGCAGGAGAGGGCGGUGGAACUCCAUGUGUAGCGGUAAAAUGCGGAGAUAUAUGGAAGAACACCAGUGGCGAAGGCGGCCGCCUGGCCUGUUGACUGACGCUGAGGCACGAAAGCGUGGGGAGCAAAUAGGAUUAGAUACCCCUGUAGUC
rnacentral:rRNA from 1 species